rnacentral:lncRNA from 1 species
GAGAACAGAAAACAAGGCAAAAGGCCGGUGAUACGUCGUCGCCAAAUUGCCAAACCAAAAUAACAAAGCUGCACGAAAAAGGUGAUGAAAAUAUAUAAAUAAAAUAUUGAAAAAAAAGGUGAUGAAAAAAAAGCAUAAAUUUAAAAAAAAAUACAUAGGGAUAAAAUGUUGAUAAAAAUAAAUACUCCAUCUGUCCACGAAAAAGUGCCCUACUUACCCCAUUUUUUUU